CCGUCGGCGUUUCGGCUCGUGUGCGAUGUAGGAAGCUCCGUUUUCCACAAAACUUGGUUUGUUGGAUUUUAGACUUCAAGAGGAAUCCGUGGAGCCCAAUUUGACAGAUUUUGGUUGAGAGAGCUGGAAUUUCGAUUAGUGGAAGUUGUGCCAUCAUUUCCCUACUGAUUUGGAGGGUGUUCUUCAUCUGAAUUGAGAAUUUGGGGAUUGAUAGAUCUUCGGAGAAUGUUGAGUUUGGAUCAGAGGGUGAUAUUCCAUCUUGGUUUACUGGUUUUGGGACCUUGCUACACCUGAUUUGGGAUGUGAAAGAGCCUUGGAGAAGUAUUGUUGCUGUUGCAGCGUGAUCUCGGCUGAACCUCCUGGUGUUUUUGGGACCUUUUUGC